rnacentral:rRNA from 1 species
AGUUUGAUCCUGGCUCAGGAUGAACGCUAGCGGCAGGCUUAAUACAUGCAAGUCGUGGGGCAGCAGGUUUGUAGCAAUACAGAUGCUGGCGACCGGCAACGGGUGCGGAACACGUACAGAACCUUCCUUUGAGCGGGGAAUAGCCCAGAGAAAUUUGGAUUAAUACCCCAUAGUAUAAUGAAGUGGCAUCACUUUAUUAUUAAAGAUUUAUCACUCGAAGAUGGCUGUGCGGCUGAUUAGGUAGUUGGCGGGGUAAAGGCCCACCAAGCCUGCGAUCAGUAACUGGUGUGAGAGCACGACCAGUCACACGGGCACUGAGACACGGGCCCGACUCCUACGGGAGGCAGCAGUAAGGAAUAUUGGUCAAUGGAGGCAACUCUGAACCAGCCAUGCCGCGUGGAGGAUGAAGGUCCUCUGGAUUGUAAACUUCUUUUAUAUGGGACGAAAAAAGGCUUUUCUAAGUCGUCUGACGGUACCAUAUGAAUAAGCACCGGCUAACUCCGUG